ensembl:lncRNA
CAGAGACUAUGGGUUGAGGAGGAAGUGGAAGUUUGUCGGCUUAGACCUGGUGUCAUUCCAUCAGUGUUAAACUUCCCGGCUCAUCUUGGAAGAGUACGUGCCAGAAAGACCACGACCAAGCAGCCUUGAGAUCUUAGGCAGCGUCUCCCUCAGGUCCCUCUCUAUCUCCCCACACAUCCACCAACCACUGGAACACAUCUCCAAAGUUCUGCCAGGCCAGCUCAGCUUCCCCUCAGAAGAAGUGCCGCCACCUGCCAGAUGAAGGAGCCUUUUGGGAGGCAGCUGGCAUCGUGAUUGGACUGUACUUUGGUCUGUUCCAAUCCAGCUUCAGCUCCAGAGACGGCAGGUGGGACGAGUCAACGGAGGCCUGGUGGACGAAGACCAAAGAACUACAGACUCUUCACAACC